CCUACGGGGGGCUGCAGUGGGGAAUAUUGGACAAUGGGGGGAACCCUGAUCCGGCCAUGCCGCGUGUGUGAAGAAGGCCCUCGGGUUGUAAAGCACUUUCAGUGAGGAAGAACGCCUGGUGGUUAAUACCCAUCAGGAAAGACAUCACUCACAGAAGAAGCACCGGCUAACUCCGUGCCAGCAGCCGCGGUAAUACGGAGGGUGCGAGCGUUAAUCGGAAUUACUGGGCGUAAAGCGCGCGUAGGUGGCUUGAUAAGCCGGUUGUGAAAGCCCCGGGCUCAACCUGGGAACGGCAUCCGGAACUGUCAAGCUAGAGUGCAGGAGAGGAAGGUAGAAUUCCCGGUGUAGCGGUGAAAUGCGUAGAGAUCGGGAGGAAUACCAGUGGCGAAGGCGGCCUUCUGGACUGACACUGACACGGAGGUGCGAAAGCGUGGGUAGCAAACAGGAUUAGAUACCCGUGUAGUC
rnacentral:rRNA from 1 species